rnacentral:tRNA from 1 species
GCCGGAGUAGCUCAGGUGGUUAGAGCAGCGGAAUCAUAAUCCGCGUGUCGGGGGUUCGAGUCCCUCCUCCGGCA